CCUACGGGAGGCAGCAGUGAGGAAUAUUGGUCAAUGGACGAGAGUCUGAACCAGCCAAGUAGCGUGAAGGAUGACUGUCCUAUGGGUUGUAAACUUCUUUUAUAUGGGAAUAAAAUGUUCCACGUGUGUGAUUUUGUAUGUACCAUAUGAAUAAGGAUCGUCUGACUCCGCUCUAGCAGCCGCGGUAAGACGGUGGAUCCGAGCGGUAUCCGGUUUUAUUGGGGUUAAAGGGAGCGUAAGUGGAUUGGUAAGUUAGUUGUGAAAGUUUGCGGCUCAACCGUAAAAUUGCAGUGGAGACUGGCAGUCUGGAGUACAGUAGAGGUGGGCGAAAUUCGUGGUGUAGCGGUGAAAUGCUUAGAUAUCACGAAGAACUCCGAUUGCGAAGGCAGUUCACUGGACUGCAACUGACACUGAGGCUCGAAAGUGUGGGUAUCAAACAGGAUUAGAUACCCGAGUAGUC
rnacentral:rRNA from 1 species